rnacentral:rRNA from 1 species
UAGGGAAUCUUCCACGAUGGGCGCAAGCCUGAUGGAGCAACACCGCGUGAGUGAAGAAGGGUUUCGGCUCGUAAAACUCUGUUGUUGAAGAAGAACGUGCGUGAGAGUAACUGUUCAUGCAGUGACGGUAUUCAACCAGAAAGUCACGGCUAACUACGUGCCAGCAGCCGCGGUAAUACGUAGGUGGCAAGCGUUAUCCGGAUUUAUUGGGCGUAAAGCGAGCGCAGGCGGUUGCUUAGGUCUGAUGUGAAAGCCUUCGGCUUAACCGAAGAAGUGCAUCGGAAACCGGGCGACUUGAGUGCAGAAGAGGACAGUGGAACUCCAUGUGUAGCGGUGGAAUGCGUAGAUAUAUGGAAGAACACCAGUGGCGAAGGCGGCUGUCUGGUCUGCAACUGACGCUGAGGCUCGAAAGCAUGGGUAGCGAACAGG